rnacentral:rRNA from 1 species
GGAGCAAAUCCCUAAAAGACCAUCCCAGUUCGGAUUGCAGGCUGCAACCCGCCUGUAUGAAGUUGGAAUCGCUAGUAAUCGCGGAUCAGCAUGCCGCGGUGAAUACGUUCCCGGGCCUUGUACACACCGCCCGUCACACCAUAAGAGUCGGGAACACCCGAAGUCCGUAGCCUAACCGCAAGGGGGGCGGCGGCCGAAGGUGGGUUCGAUAAUUGGGGUGAAGUCGUAACAAGGUACC